GCUGCCAUAGCUCAAUGAGGCAGAGCACCGGCUUUGUAACCCGGAGGUUGUGAGUUCAAUCCUCACUGGCAGCUCCA
rnacentral:tRNA from 1 species